GGGAAACAAGAAGAAUCCUAGAUGUCUCAAUGAGAUGAAGAAUUGCCUACUGUUUAUCACCCUGACCCAGUCUUUCUCCCCAAGACAAGUUCUGGAAACUAAAAGUCCAUGAUCAAGGCAUCAGCAGAUCAACGUCUGGUAAGAGUCAGCUUCCUGAUGAGCAGAUGCCUCCCUGACUUAAUCUCACUUGUUGGAGAGCAAGAAAAGAGGAUGUUUUCCUGUCACUUCCUAUAAGGGUGCUAAUCACAGUCAUGUGAGCUCCACUCUUAUGACCUAAUUAUCUCCCAAAGGCUCCAUCUCCUAAUAUCAUCAUAUUGAAGAAAUGAAGCAUAAAACAUGAAACCAUUAACAUGAAAGCAGUGUUGGAAGAAGACAGGAACGUGGAAGAAUAAGACAUAAAGAGAGAGAGAGAGAAUGAGGGAACUAAAGUGUUUUAUAGAGCUGAGAUGCUCAAGAGUUAGCCACCAGCCACAAGUGACUAUUGAAUACUUGGGAUGGGGCUAGUGUAACAAAGGUAAUAAAUUUUUAAUUCUAAUUUAUUUUAAUUAAAAAACUGAAGUGUUAUAUACUUUUCUGUUAAAUAUAAGUUUAUUAUUUUGGUGGGAUUACAGUUCACUUCCACUGUUGACAAUGUUCUAUCUUACUUGA